GAUGAACGCUGGCGGUAUGCUUAACACAUGCAAGUCGAACGGGGUUCAUAGUCACCUAGUGGCGGACGGGUGAGUAACGCGUGAGAAUCUGGCCUCAGGUCCGGGACAACCACGGGAAACGGUGGCUAAUACCGGAUGUGCCAUAUUGGUGAAAGAUUAAUUGCCUGAGGAUGAGCUCGCGUCUGAUUAGCUAGUUGGUGGGGUAAAGGCUUACCAAGGCGACGAUCAGUAACUGGUCUGAGAGGAUGACCAGUCACACUGGGACUGAGACACGGCCCAGACUCCUACGGGAGGCAGCAGUGGGGAAUUUUCCGCAAUGGGCGAAAGCCUGACGGAGCAAUACCGCGUGAGGGAGGAAGGCUCUUGGGUUGUAAACCUCUUUUCUCGGGGAAGAAGAAUGACGGUACCUGAGGAAUCAGCAUCGGCUAACUCCGUG
rnacentral:rRNA from 1 species